rnacentral:rRNA from 1 species
UGGGGGAUAUUGCACAAUGGGGGAAACCCUGAUGCAGCGACGCCGCGUGAGUGAAGAAGUAUUUCGGUAUGUAAAGCUCUAUCAGCAGGGAAGAAAAUGACAGUACCUGACUAAGAAGCCCCGGCUAACUACGUGCCAGCAGCCGCGGUAAUACGUAGGGGGCAAGCGUUAUCCGGAUUUACUGGGUGUAAAGGGAGCGUAGACGGUUAUGUAAGUCUGGAGUGAAAGCCCGGGGCCCAACCCCGGGACUGCUUUGGAAACUGUGUAACUAGAGUACAGGAGGGGCAGGCGGAAUUCCUGGUGUAGCGGUGAAAUGCGUAGAUAUCAGGAGGAACACCGGCGGCGAAGGCGGCCUGCUGGACUGUAACUGACGUUGAGGCUCGAAAGCGUGGGGAGCAAACAGGAUUAGAUACCC